GUUGGAUAAGUGUGUUUGGUUAGAUAUCUUGCAGAGAGGACAUGCUUAGGAGUACUUUGGACCAAUCUCUUGCCUGGCUUCAAAACUUGUUUUCAAAAUUAUCAAGCCAUGGAAUUUGAGCUCAGCUGUGCAGUUUUCCUCGCUGCAGCAAUCAUCAGAGCACAAGCACGGCGCUGAACACUCCUGCAAACUAUGGGGACAAGUUUCCAGUGAGCUUUGCAUCGUGGGGAGAGCAAACCCCAAUCUCCUGCAAUAUAAGGUAACAUCCCUGCGAUACGUACAUCCUGCUGUGCAGCACAGCUGCAGGGCAGAGCCCGUUUCACUUCUUUCCUU
rnacentral:lncRNA from 1 species